rnacentral:rRNA from 1 species
CCUACACAUGCAAGGUCGAGCGAGACCUUCGGGUCUAGCGGCGGACGGGUUAGUACCCCUUGAGGAACGUACCUUUUGCUUCGGAAUAGCCUCGGGAAAUGGGAGUAAUACCGAAUGUGCCCUUUGGGGGAAAGAUUUAUCGGCAAAAGAUCGGCCCGCGUCUGAUUAGAUAGUUGGUGGGGUAAUGGCCUACCAAGUCUGCGAUCAGUAGCUGGUUUGAGAGGAUGAUCAGCAACACUGGGACUGAGACACGGCCCAGACUCCUACGGGAGGCAGCAGUGGGGAAUCUUAGACAAUGGGCGCAAGCCUGAUCUAGCGAUGCCGCGUGAGUGACGAAGGCCUUAGGGUCGUAAAGCUCUUUCGCCAGGGAUGAUAAUGACAGUACCUGGUAAAGAAACCCCGGCUAACUCCGUGCCAGCAGCCGCGGUAAUACGGAGGGGGUUAGCGUUGUUCGGAAUUACUGGGCGUAAAGCGCACGUAGGCGGAUUAGAAAGUUGGGGGUGAAAUCCCAGGGCUCAACCCUGGAACUGCCUCCAAAACUACUAGUCUAGAGUUCGAGAGAGGUGAGUGGAAUUCCGAGUGUAGAGGUGAAAUUCGUA